GCUGAGUUUAUAAAAAACCUUUCUCAAUCUGAAAGGUUCUUUGUAGAUCCUGUAGAAGAACCAUACAGGUUUUUAUUCUGGUCAGUCAUAUUAUAUUAUAUAUAUUCUAAUGAGCCACCUCGCCUACAUUUAAUUAUCACUAAAAGAGCAAAGAACCCUUUUGUGAACUUUAAAGAACCAUUGAAGAACAGAACUCAAAGGGUUAUUUGAGUAAUUAUGGCUCCACAUAGAACCAUCACCCUUCCUUAAGAUCCCUUGGGGAACCCUCAUAUUUUAGUGUUUAUGCAUCUCUAUGGGUGAGACCACCAUGAAUAGAAAUGUCUGAAAAACAAAGUGUCUGUCUGGCUGGCUGUUGUCUGUCUUGCUGGCUGUCUGUCUGUGUGGCCAUUGUAUGGCUGGCUGUUGUCUGUCUGUUGCUGGCUGGCUGUCCCUUUCUAAUACUGUUGCAGAUUCUUACCAUGUUUGAGGAGAACUAUCCUGAAGGACUCAAGAGGGUGUUUCUCAUCAAGACUCCUAAGCUAUUCCCGAUGGCCUACAACCUGGUCAAACACUUCCUGAGUGAAGAGACACGUCACAAGAUCAUCAUUCUGGGAUCUAACUGGCAGGAGGUGUUACUUAAGCACAUUGACCGGA